rnacentral:lncRNA from 1 species
AUUAUAUGUGGUGAUUAUUGAUGUCCUGAUUUGUUGUUCUUGCCUAAGAUAAGUUUUGCCCUUCUUUUCUUGUUGGGGUUUGAGAUCGAUGAAGCGCAAGUUUCUUAGAGGAAGUUAGAAUAUGGUCAAUUUUCUCUACGCCAUUAACUCCAUGGCACUGCCUCACAUGUGAGACUAUAUAUUUUCUUCCUCCGUCUGUUUGGAUCUCUCUUACGUGUAUAGAUAUAUAAUGCAUGCCUGUCUUGUGAGAUUUGUUCUUGUAGCAAUUUAGGGGAAGAACAUAAGUUUGCUGAUUAAUUUGAGUGUCUCUUAAUUACUUAUUCACUUUCAUUUUCUUUUAAUCUUGCUUCAUUUUUUAAAUGAAAAACUCUGUUUAAUUAUAACAUCUUUAAUUACACUUAUUAUGUAUUGAAAAGUCUAUUAAAUUGUGAAAAUUAAUUCGUGAUAUCCUUUAUCUCUGUAGAUGAUUCCUUUUCCCUUUACUCAUGAUCAUGUAGAUGUGUCUGGUACUAUAAUAAAUUCUAUAUUCGACCUUAAUUAUUUAACUGUUUCAGUUUUUUCGUUUGAGCGAUUCUCAUUGGAUGUGGAAGGCUUUUACACAAGGGGCAUGCUAAUAAAGUAUUCAUAUAGCUCAAGCAUUGGAUUAAGUGACGGCCAUUUAAUCUUUAGUAGUGCAGAUCCAUUUACAAAAGUAUGGUGACAACAUAUGCAGAAGGAGCCUGCUUGUGAGUUGCACGACAUUAAUGCUCAAUAUAAUUUAAUUUAUGGUGUUUCUCUUUACUUUGGUUGUUGUAGGAUGUUACAUGUUUUGUCUUUGUCUAGAAGCUCGAUCUGGAUUAGCUCCAUGAAACCUUUCUAAGAUUCCCAAAGACAGUACCCAUGUCAAAGAAACGUCACCAAUCGGCCUCUUAUGUAUUUUCUUUUUGUCUUCAUCAUAAUUUCAGGUAUUGGAAGACAAGGUUUCUGGGUUCCUUGAUAGAGUUCGUACAAGACAUUAAUGGGACUCUCACAUGAAGUCUACCAACCCUAGCAGGCAUAUAUCUUCUUGACUCUGGCAUUAUUGUUCAGUUACUUAUAAUUACUCAUUGGUCUGUACUUGGAACAUAAAUAUUUAGGCUGCCAAAAGAAUUUCAACGCCAUGGUUUGAACUUUGAAGUUAGAAGCCAUAGCAUAAGCUGAUAAUCAGCACUGACUUCUUCAUUUCAGGGAUUUGACUAUUUAAGUUAGGGUACUGACCCUUUUUGGCAUUAAUGUAUCAGUUAGCACCCAGAAAAGUAAAGUGGAUGAUUCACUGUUUUCUCAAAAAAAUAAAAUUGAUGCUCUGGAAUGGAAUCUCAGUGUAAGAUCUUAUACAUAGAAAUUAGGCUGGUCAGCUCCUCUUCUUUACAAUAUCGAUCCCACAAGGGUUUAUACAGGGUGCUUAGGAAGACGUGAUCUCAAGUACUAUAUUUGGAUUGCUUAUGGAUGGAUUUCUGUUUCUUUGUGGACCACUGCGAUGGAACCUUUUCUUGAAAAAAAACAAGAUAGAUCUUCAUUGAUUAAAUUAAAAACCGUAGAGGAUGAGUUACUGUGGCUCAAAGAAACCCACAGACAACUAGUUAUAUAUUGGUACAUAACUCAUGUGAAUUAUG